GAUGAACGCUGGCGGCGUGCCUAAUACAUGCAAGUAGAACGCUGAAGGAAGGAGCUUGCUCUUUCCGGAUGAGUUGCGAACGGGUGAGUAACGCGUAGGUAACCUGCCUGGUAGCGGGGGAUAACUAUUGGAAACGAUAGCUAAUACCGCAUAACAGUAGAUGUUGCAUGAUAUCUGCUUGAAAGGGGCAAUUGCUCCACUACCAGAUGGACCUGCGUUGUAUUAGCUAGUUGGUGAGGUAACGGCUCACCAAGGCGACGAUACAUAGCCGACCUGAGAGGGUGAUCGGCCACACUGGGACUGAGACACGGCCCAGACUCCUACGGGAGGCAGCAGUAGGGAAUCUUCGGCAAUGGACGGAAGUCUGACCGAGCAACGCCGCGUGAGUGAAGAAGGUUUUCGGAUCGUAAAGCUCUGUUGUAAGAGAAGAACGAGUGUGAGAGUGGAAAGUUCACACUGUGACGGUAUCUUACCAGAAAGGGACGGCUAACUACGUGCCAGCAGCCGCGGUAAUACGUAGGUCCCGAGCGUUAUCCGGAUUUAUUGGGCGUAAAGCGAGCGCAGGCGGUUAGAUAAGUCUGAAGUUAAAGGCUGUGGCUUAACCAUAGUACGCUUUGGAAACUGUUUAACUUGAGUGCAAGAGGGGAGAGUGGAAUUCCAUGUGUAGCGGUGAAAUGCGUAGAUAUAUGGAGGAACACCGGUGGCGAAAGCGGCUCUCUGGCUUGUAACUGACGCUGAGGCUCGAAAGCGUGGGGAGCAAACAGG
rnacentral:rRNA from 1 species